GGCUGGUCCGAGUGCCAUGAUGUUUACAACUAAUUGAUCACAUCCAGUUACAGAUUCCUUUGUUCCUUCUACACUCCCACUGCUCUACUUGACUAGCCUCUA
rnacentral:Y_RNA from 1 species